rnacentral:tRNA from 1 species
GCCUGAGUGGCUUACUUGGUUAAGCAUCCGACUGUGGCUCGGGUCAUGAUCUUGCAGUUUGUGAGUUCGAACCCCAUGUCAGGCU